rnacentral:rRNA from 1 species
GUAAACCUUGAUGAUAAACUACAAAUAUCAUCCGCCAGGGAACUACAAGCGUAUCGCUCGAAACCCAACGGACUUGGCGGUGCCCCACACCCACCUAGAGGAGCCUGUUCUAUAACUGACAAUCCCCGUUCAACCUCACCACUCCUAGCCCCUUCAGUCUAUAUACCACCGUCGUAAGCUCACCCUGUGAAGGAUUAACAGUAAGCAAGAUGGGCACAACCCAAAACGUCAGGUCGAGGUGUAGCAUAUGGAGUGGGAAGAAAUGGGCUACAUUUUCUAUCUACAGAACAUUACGGACGACGUCAUGAAACCUGCCGUCCAAAGGAGGAUUUAGCAGUAAAAAGAAAACAGAGAGUUCUUUUGAAGCCG